CCUACGGUAGGCAGCAGUAGGGAAUAUUGCUCAAUGGAGGAAACCCUGAAGCAGCAACGCCGCGUGGAGGAUGAAGGUUUUCGGAUUGUAAACUCCUUUUGUUAGGGAAGAUAAUGACGGUAUCUAACGAAUAAGCACCGGCUAACUCCGUGCCAGCAGCCGCGGUAAUACGGAGGGGGCAAGCGUUACUCGGAUUCACUGGGCGUAAAGAGGGCGUAGGCGGGAUAGCAAGUCAGAUGUGAAAUCCUAUGGCUUAACCAUAGAACUGCAUUUGAAACUGUUAUUCUAGAGUAUGGGAGAGGUAGGUGGAAUUCUUGGUGUAGGGGUAAAAUCCGUAGAGAUCAAGAGGAACACUCAUUGCGAAGGCGACCUGCUAGACCAUAACUGACGCUGAUGCGCGAAAGCGUGGGGAGCAAACAGGAUUAGAUACCCUGGUAGUC
rnacentral:rRNA from 1 species